rnacentral:rRNA from 1 species
GAUGAACGCUGGCGGCGUGCCUAAUACAUGCAAGUCGAGCGAACGGACGAGAAGCUUGCGUCUCUGAUGUUAGCGGCGGACGGGUGAGUAACACGUGGAUAACCUACCUAUAAGACUGGGAUAACUUCGGGAAACCGGAGCUAAUACCGGAUGAUAUUUUGAACCGCAUGGUUCAAAAGUGAAAGACGGUCUUGCUGUCACUUAUAGAUGGAUCCGCGCUGCAUUAGCUAGUUGGUAAGGUAACGGCUUACCAAGGCAACGAUGCAUAGCCGACCUGAGAGGGUGAUCGGCCACACUGGAACUGAGACACGGUCCAGACUCCUACGGGAGGCAGCAGUAGGGAAUCUUCCGCAAUGGGCGAAAGCCUGACGGAGCAACGCCGCGUGAGUGAUGAAGGUCUUCGGAUCGUAAAACUCUGUUAUUAGGGAAGAACAUAUGUGUAAGUAACUGUGCACAUCUUGACGGUACCUAAUCAGAAAGCCCCGGCUAACUACGUG